ensembl:miRNA
UCAAGAUGGGGAGUCAGGCAGUGGUGGAGAGGGACAGCCCUGAGCCUCCACUCUCCUGGCCCCCAG